CCUCCCUCUAGUUCCUGCCCCCCGCACAGCUCCAGCUCGUUCUCUGGUUACUGCCCCUCUGCUCCAUCUCUGGCAUCUCUCUGGUCUGCCACAACUAAUGAUUAAUUCCUGGCAUCAUGUAACAAGCUGUGGAAGAAACUGAAAAUCCAGUCAU